rfam:Fonticula alba strain ATCC 38817 mitochondrial scaffold supercont2.211, whole genome shotgun sequence.
GCCCGCUUGGUGGAACUGGCAGACACGACAGACUUAAAAUCUGUUUUCAGUUUAUGAAGUAUUGGUUCGAGUCCAAUAGUGGGUA